GACAGAGGUGCCGAGCGUUAGGCGGAAUCACUGGGCUUAAAGCGUGUGUAGGCGGCCCGUUAAGUGCCUCGUGAAAUCCCCGGCUCAACCGGGGAACUGCCGGGCAUACUGGCGGGCUUGGGUCGCUCAGGGGCAGACGGAACAGGCGGUGGAGCGGUGAAAUGCGUAGAUAUCGCCUGGAACGCCGAAGGUGAAACGAGUCUGACU
rnacentral:rRNA from 1 species